CUACAGGAACUCCAGGAACUCCUGGUGCCGCCUGGGCCGAUGGAUUGGACGCCCCAGCCCCUCUGUUCCUGCCCAACCACUGGGUCCAUGUCGAGUGGUGGGACUGCCAGCCCUGCAGUGGGAUGUAGCCUUGAAACUCCACCGAGUUGAGCCAAGGGAUUUAAAGGUACUAAGCAUGGGAGGUGAAGAAAGAAGGAAGAAGGGAACUGAGGCAUCAGCCAAGCAGCACCAAGUUCCUGUGUAAGCAGAAGUUGCACUUGAUCAACUUCCCAUCUGAGCGGAUCUUCAGAGCUGAUGCCUGUGGCAGGAGAAGUUCUCAGCAAGGAGGCUCUUUCCUCCUAGGCAGAAAGGUCAGUGCCCUUUCUCCCCAAGGCCCAGUACAGCAGGGCUUCCAGGAGCUGCUGGUGUGGCUGCUCUUUGGGUUCUCAGCUGUGCCCAUGGGGUGGUGAUAUCGUGUUCCUGCCUGUGCUCCAGGGUAGCCAAAAGCCCCAGCACAGCCCCUGGACCUUUUUGGGAGCCUGAGCUAUUGCAGCACUGAGGAUGGGCUUGGUUUCCUUCUCUCCUCAGAGUAAAACUGUAUGGGGGAGUCUCUGAUCUCCCUGAUUUUUGUAUCAUAACUGGAACUGGGAAGAAAGUUCACCCUGUGUAAUUUAUCAAGUGACUUGGCCUGGUUGAACCAGCAGUGCCAGAUUGUUGUAGUGUGCAGGUUAUUGUUUGUGUCUGAGCUGUUUGGUGUUUCUUUACCAAGGAAGGCCAUGGAAUGUUACGGUAUUUUUGUCCCAGUAUUGGAGGUAGUGCCCUGGAUUAGUUGAUUUCUGCCUCACUCCCUGGUAUCUGAGUCUUGAGAUGUACCAAGAACUGGUAGUUUUUGCAGUGGGAUGUACCCUAGAAACUGCAUGGAGCUGAGCCAAGGGAUUUAAAGGGACUAAGCAAGGGAGGUGAAGAAACAAAGAAGAAGGGAACUGAAACAGCAGCAAAGCAGCACCAAGUUCCUCUAAAACCAGGUAAAUUGUCUUGAAGUUGCUAAGGUGAUCACUCAGAACUUUGGGCGAUGCAAGCACAGGUGACCACGAGAGACCCCCAAUGGAGCCCCUCAGAGACACUAUAAGGGUUUGUGUUUAUGGUAACAGGUGUUGGGAAUGUCCUGAACACAGAACAGGAAUGCAGGGAAGGAAAAUGAACCCUCCUGUAAUGCUGACCCCUCCCAUCAGCUGCAGUGGAGACCCCUCCGUGUGCCCUUUGGGAGCGGAUUGCCAGGACCCCCGUGGGGCUGGGAUCAUGGCAGGGUGUUGUAAGCAAGGAAUGCCUGGCUUCUAAAACUCACCCGCUGAGUGUU